rnacentral:rRNA from 1 species
UGUCCCUACGGGAGGCAGCAGUGGGGAAUAUUGCACAAUGGGGGAAACCCUGAUGCAGCGACGCCGCGUGAGCGAUGAAGUAUCUCGGUAUGUAAAGCUCUAUCAGCAGGGAAGAAAGUGACAGUACCUGACUAAGAAGCCCCGGCUAACUACGUGCCAGCAGCCGCGGUAAUACGUAGGGGGCAAGCGUUAUCCGGAUUUACUGGGUGUAAAGGGAGCGUAGACGGCAGUGCAAGUCUGGAGUGAAAGGCGGGGGCUCAACCCCCGGACUGCUCUGGAAACUGUACGGCUGGAGUGCAGGAGAG